GGAAUAUUGGACAAUGGGGGAAACCCUGAUCCAGCAAUGCCGCGUGUGUGAAGAAGGCCUGCGGGUUGUAAAGCACUUUCAGUAGAGAAGAAAAGCAUACGGUUAAUAACCGUUUGUCUUGACGUAACCUACAGAAGAAGCACCGGCUAACUCCGUGCCACCAGCCGCGGUAAUACGGAGGGUGCAAGCGUUAAUCGGAAUUACUGGGGGUAAAGCGCGCGUAGGCGGUUUGGUAAGUCGGAUGUGAAAGCCCUGGGCUUAACCUGGGAAUUGCAUUCGAUACUGCCUGACUAGAGUAUGGUAGAGGGAAGUGGAAUUUCCGGGGUAGCGGUGAAAUGCGUAGAUAUCGGAAGGAACACCAGUGGCGAAGGCGACUUCCUGGGCCAAUUCUGACGCUGAGGUACGAAAGCGUGGGGAGCAAAC
rnacentral:rRNA from 1 species